rnacentral:siRNA from 1 species
AAUUGGUCAAAAGUUUAAUGAAA